GCCUGGCUGGCUUAGUCAGUAGAGUAUGCGACUCUUAGUCUUGCGAUUGUGAGUUCAAGUCCCAUGUUAGGUA
rnacentral:tRNA from 1 species